rnacentral:lncRNA from 1 species
AAUAUGAUCUCUUGAAAUCAUGCUUCUAAUUUUAAACUUCAAAAAUCACCCCGCAGUUUCGCACUUUCUUAUUUUAAUACCCUAUAGUUUAAAGUGUAUCAAGUUAGUGUCCUUAAUUUGGUUUCAUUUUUAUCUUUUCAUCAGUUUCUCUGUUAAUAUUUCGUUAAAUUAUAUACAAAAAAAAUUCAGAUAUUCUAUUUAGAUUUAUCGAAUAUUCACUCUAGUAUCCUUUAGUUUUAACUCUGUCACUGAUUUAACAAAAAAAAUUAAUAAAAUCGAUGAUAGAAAGAUAAAAAUGAAACCGCAUGAUACUAAAUUGAUAUACUUUAAAAUAUAGGGUACUAAAAUGAGAAAGUGUGAAACUGGUGGUAUUUGAAGUUUUUCAUUAAAAUUAAUAUGCUC